UACGUAGGGUGCGAGCGUUUAAUCGGAAUUACUGGGCGUAAAGGGUGCGCAGGCGGUUAUAUAAGACAGAUGUGAAAUCCCCGGGCUCAACCUGGGAACUGCGUUUGUGACUGUAUGACUAGAGUACGGUAGAGAGGGGUGGAAUUCCUGGUGUAGCAGUGAAAUGCGUAGAUAUCAGGAGGAACAUCGAUGGCGAAGGCAGCCCCUUGGACCUGUACUGACGCUCAUGCACGAAAGCGUGGGGAGCAAACAGGA
rnacentral:rRNA from 1 species